AAUUGAUACAGCAGAUGGAGCAUCAGAUACAAUUUAUACUACAACUAAAGCUAUGAGAGAAAUGAAUAGUGGAUUAGAAGGGACUGAAAUAGGUCAAGAAGCUUCUAAUUUCUUAAUUCCAACUUCUAGAAGACUUGAUACACAAGCUGAUGACAUAAGUAGAGAAGCCAGAAAAAAUAGGAGAUUAAUUGAAAAACUCCUCAACAUAGUGUACAU
rnacentral:misc_RNA from 1 species